rnacentral:lncRNA from 1 species
UAGCUACAUUGAAAAAUCUCCUUCUGCUCCUUAUUGUUACUUGUUUGCUUAACUUAUCAUUUGUUUGUUUUUUUGGAAGGUGAGGAAACUUGGGUUAUUACAGCUGUCAAGGCUGAGGCUCUGGCCCCAAUGACUCCAGGAACAACACUACUGAAAAAGGCUCUGAAGAGUAUCAGAAAGUAUUUCCGGGAUGCUGGACACAGGUGUGGAAGAUAUCUGAUGUUUGAGAGCCACAACCAGACGUCAGAGAGCUUGGGUUGUUGUUGCCCCGAGUUUUAGGCCUGAGGUUGGACUUGGCUGACCCUCUGAAGACUGAUGGCUCUGAGGACCCACAUCAGGGAUGGGGAGUUUCCAUGAAUCUUAUCUCCGUGGGCAUCUCUUGCAUCCUGUGUCACACAUGAGAAAAUCCUUUGUGGCAAUUUAGUGACAAUCACCCAGUUACACCAGAGGUCAAGACAUGGCCCAGGAGGUAGAGCAAGAGGACAAUGUCAACCUCAGUCAGGGCAGUGGUGGCUGGAGGCAUAGGAUAAGAUGAUUCAUACUAAAGUCAUGGCAACAAUUUAAAGUGUGACAUGCAUCCUCAGGGGACGGAGGGUUUUUAAACUAGAACAGUAAUGUUCCCCAGGGAAACAAGAAGGGAGUUAUUUGAUGAUUAAAUCUUCUCAGUUACACCUGAUAAUACAGCUUUACGAGUUAUCCUGAUUUAAAACAAAGAAUAUUCUACUAGCACAUUGAUGGUAGGACUGCAUUUUCACCUUGCUACUAAAAUAAUCAGGCUGGUUUAAGAGAAUGGGUAGAGCUGAGGCCAGCAAGUGGACUGUCAGGUACAAGUGAGGAGGAGGCUUCAUCUAGCACAGCUGGGUUCAGCCCAGGACAAAGUCAUCCCUUUGGAGUGACUUUCACUGUCUACUGAAAAUCAAGUGAAGACAUGAAGGAGAAACUCAUAUUUCCACACCUCAAAAUUAAGUGUAUUGUUUGAUGAAAGGAAUAGACUAUCUUGUCUAACACAUCGUAUCAGCGUAUGAAUGGACAUGACAGGCUGCUCUGAGAUGUCUCUGGUGUCAUUGUACCUUAGGGACACAAAAAGAAAUCUAUAAUCAAC